rnacentral:lncRNA from 1 species
GAAAACCACAAAUUCAAAUCAGUGAAGGGAGGGUCACAGAAAAAGGAGAAAGAAACAUUUUUAAAAUCCCCAUGAUAUUAUGUAUUGGGCCUCUUUUUCCACACAAAAGCACCGCCUUUGCUCAUCUGCAGCCUCCCGAGGACUGUGUGGAAGGUGAUAAUGAGAACGGGCUUCAGCAACCAUCCUCCCCGGCAGCAUCGGGGCGCCCCACGUGACCCAUGGGAUGAUGCUAUCACAGGUGACCGCUGGAAAGGAAGCACGAGGACAGCCCCGAGAAAGCCACAGGACCUCUCUCAGGCUGACUCUCCUCAGGCACACCGCACACCUAGCGACCUACCGAAAAUACUGGGAGUUAACCAAGCCCACCCUCCAACCCUUGCUACGCAACCACAACGGCCAUCACUCCACCGCUGGAUCAAAUCCCGACUUGUCUUUCCCCAUCAAGAGUUCCGCCUCCUCUACCGGGCUCAUCACAGUGCCUGGCGUCCGGCGACUGCUGUUCUUUUAGUGAUUAUAUCAUCAUAUCCUACAGUCAACAUUUCUCACUAUUUAAUAGUCUCCGGAAUUAGAUUUUUGAUGAACAGAUUUACACCGUGAAUGAGGUCCAAAGAGGGAAGCCAGGGGCACAGCCCACAAAGUAUGAAAGGUCUUCAUAGCAACAGGAGAGUGAGAAUGAAAAAUCAUUAAUAAAAAGAUAAAGAUAAAAGGUCA